GUAGCACCUUAGAGACCAACUAAGUUUGUUUUUGGUAUAAGCUGCACACGAAAACUUAUACCAAGAACAAACUUAGUUGGUCUCUAAGGUGCUAC
rnacentral:miRNA from 1 species